GAAUCCAAAUAUUUCAAUCUCAGGUUGACCGUAGAAUCCAUUUGGAGUCUAAUUCAUUUUUAUAAAUGA
rfam:Candidatus Pelagibacter sp. HIMB1321 genome assembly, chromosome: I